rnacentral:lncRNA from 1 species
CAUAAUGUGUAUUUCUUGAAGAUGUAGAUGCAAAAACAGAUUGCAGUCUAAAUAUUAUGUUCACACAAAACGUGUUUAGCGUAUUUAACCGUCAUCCAUGUAAUUUUUUUUAGUUUAAUCAUAUCAUAUCAAAACCUUUAAUACAAAGAACUAAUAGUUGUCUUUAUGAUGCGCAUUUCAACAUUUUAAAAUUAAAAACUCACGCA